rnacentral:rRNA from 1 species
UGGGAGCUUGCUCCCUGAUGUUAGCGGCGGACGGGUGAGUAACACGUGGGUAACCUGCCUGUAAGACUGGGAUAACUCCGGGAAACCGGGGCUAAUACCGGAUGGUUGUUUGAACCGCAUGGUUCAAACAUAAAAGGUGGCUUCGGCUACCACUUACAGAUGGACCCGCGGCGCAUUAGCUAGUUGGUGAGGUAAUGGCUCACCAAGGCAACGAUGCGUAGCCGACCUGAGAGGGUGAUCGGCCACACUGGGACUGAGACACGGCCCAGACUCCUACGGGAGGCAGCAGUAGGGAAUCUUCCGCAAUGGACGAAAGUCUGACGGAGCAACGCCGCGUGAGUGAUGAAGGUUUUCGGAUCGUAAAGCUCUGUUGUUAGGGAAGAACAAGUACCGUUCGAAUAGGGCGGUACCUUGACGGUACCUAACCAGAAAGCCACGGCUAACUACGU